rnacentral:tRNA from 1 species
GUCCCCAUAGUUCAAUCGGAUAGAGCAACAGCCUUCUAAGCUGUAAGUUGGUGGUUCGAGUCCACCUGGGGAUA